UNUGCUGUGAAAGGCUGGGGCUUAACCCUGNUUUUGCAGUGGGUACGGGCUAACUAGAGUGCAGUAGGGGAGACUGGAAUUCCUGGUGUAGCGGUGGAAUGCGCAGAUAUCAGGAGGAACACCGAUGGCGAAGGCAGGUCUCUGGGCUGUAACUGACGCUGAGAAGCGAAAGCAUGGGGAGCGAACAGGAUUAGAUACCCUGGUAGUCCAUGCCGUAAACGUUGGGCACUAGGUGUGGGGGACAUUCCACGUUUUCCGCGCCGUAGCUAACGCAUUAAGUGCCCCGCCUGGGGAGUACGGCCGCAAGGCUAAAACUCAAAGAAAUUGACGGGGGCCCGCACAAGCGGCGGAGCAUGCGGAUUAAUUCGAUGCAACGCGAAGAACCUUACCAAGGCUUGACAUAUACUGGACUGCGUCAGAGAUGGCGUUUCCCUUCGGGGCUGGUAUACAGGUGGUGCAUGGUUGUCGUCAGCUCGUGUCGUGAGAUGUUGGGUUAAGUCCCGCAACGAGCGCAACCCUCGUUCUAUGUUGCCAGCACGUGAUGGUGGGGACUCAUAGGAGACUGCCGGGGUCAGCUCGGAGGAAGGUGGGGAUGACGUCAAAUCAUCAUGCCCCUUAUGUCUUGGGCUUCACGCAUGCUACAAUGGUCGGUACAGAGGGUUGCGAUACUGUGAGGUGGAGCUAAUCCCUAAAAGCCGGUCUCAGUUCGGAUUGGGGUCUGCAACUCGACCCCAUGAAGUCGGAGUCGCUAGUAAUCGCAGGUCAGCAACGCUGCGGUGAAUACGUUCCCGGGCCUUGUACACACCGCCCGUCAAGUCACGAAAGUUGGUAACACCCGAAGCCGGU
rnacentral:rRNA from 1 species